rnacentral:rRNA from 1 species
GAUGAACGCUGGCGGCGUGCCUAAUACAUGCAAGUCGAGCGAACAGAUGAGGAGCUUGCUCCUCUGACGUUAGCGGCGGACGGGUGAGUAACACGUGGAUAACCUACCUAUAAGACUGGGAUAACUUCGGGAAACCGGAGCUAGUACCGGAUAAUAUAUUGAACCGCAUGGUUCAAUAGUGAAAGACGGUUUUGCUGUCACUUAUAGAUGGAUCCGCGCCGCAUUAGCUAGUUGGUAAGGUAACGGAUUACCAAGGCAACGAUGCGUAGCCGACCUGAGAGGGUGAUCGGCCACACUGGAACUGAGACACGGUCCAGACUCCUACGGGAGGCAGCAGUAGGGAAUCUUCCGCAAUGGGCGAAAGCCUGACGGAGCAACGCCGCGUGAGUGAUGAAGGUCUUCGGAUCGUAAAGCUCUGUUAUUAGGGAAGAACAAAUGUGUAAGUAACUAUGCACGUCUUGACGGUACCUAAUCAGAAAGCCACGGCUAACUACGUG